rnacentral:rRNA from 1 species
CCUACGAGAGGCAGCAGUGAGGAAUAUUGGUCAAUGGGCGCGAGCCUGAACCAGCCAAGUAGCGUGAAGGAUGACUGCCCUACGGGUUGUAAACUUCUUUUAUAAAGGAAUAAAGUGAUGCACGUGUGCCUUUUUGUAUGUACUUUAUGAAUAAGGAUCGGCUAACUCCGUGCCUGCAGCCGCGGGAAUACGGAGGAAUCGAGCGUUAUCCGGGUUUAUUGGGUUUAAAGGGAGCGUAGAUGGGUUGUUAAGUCAGUUGUUAAAGUUUGCGGAUCAACCGUGAAAUUGCAAUUGAUACUGGCAGUCGUGAGUACAGUUGAGGUAGGCGGAAUUCGUGGUGUAGCGGUGAAAUGCUUAGAUAUCACGAAGAACUCCGAUUGCGAAGGCAGCUUACUAAACUGCCACUGACAUUGAUGCUCGAAAGUGUGGGUAUCAAACAGGAUUAGAUACCCGGGUAGUC